rnacentral:rRNA from 1 species
AUUGAACGCUGGCGGAAUGCUUUACACAUGCAAGUCGAACGGUAGAGGGGGCAACCCCUUGAGAGUGGCGAACGGGUGAGUAAUAUAUCGGAACGUGCCCAGUCGUGGGGAUAACGUAGCGAAAGUUACGCUAAUACCGCAUACGAUCUAAGGAUGAAAGCGGGGGAUCGCAAGACCCCGCGCGAUUGGAGCGGCCGAUAUCAGAUUAGGUAGUUGGUGAGGUAAAGGCUCACCAAGCCAACGAUCUGUAGCUGGUCUGAGAGGACGACCAGCCACACUGGAACUGAGACACGGUCCAGACUCCUACGGGAGGCAGCAGUGGGGAAUUUUGGACAAUGGACGCAAGUCUGAUCCAGCAAUGCCGCGUGCAGGAUGAAGGCCUU